rnacentral:rRNA from 1 species
AUGGACCUGGGGCGCCUGAACUAUGGGAUCAUUACCCUCAUCCCAAAGGUUCCGGGGGCCUCGGACAUCCGCCAGUUCCGCCCGAUCACUGUGAUUAACGUGAUCUUCAGGAUCCUGGCCAAAGGAUACGCCAAUAGGGUGACCCUUCUUGCGGACUCUGUCACCCACCCCAACCAAUCCGCCUUCAUUCAAGGCUGAUUUAUUUUGGAUGGGGUGUUGGUCUUUCACGAAGUCCUCCACGAAGUCCGAUCCAAGCACCACCGCGCGGUGUUCCUUAAGCUCGACUUCCAUAAGGCCUACGACACGGUCCACUGGCCCUUCCUUCGGGAAGUAUUG